rnacentral:rRNA from 1 species
GCAGAGCAUCCUACGGGAGGCAGCAGUGGGGGAAUAUUGCACAAUGGGCGCAAGCCUGAUGCAGCCAUGCCGCGUGUAUGAAGAAGGCCUUCGGGUUGUAAAGUACUUUCAGCAGUGAGGAAGGUGGGUAUGUUAAUAGCAUACUCAUUUGACGUUAGCUGCAGAAGAAGCACCGGCUAACUCCGUGCCAGCAGCCGCGGUAAUACGGAGGGUGCGAGCGUUAAUCGGAAUUACUGGGCGUAAAGCGCAUGCAGGUGGUUUGUUAAGUCAGAUGUGAAAGCCCGGGGCUCAACCUCGGAAUUGCAUUUGAAACUGGCAAACUAGAGUACUGUAGAGGGGGGUAGAAUUUCAGGUGUAGCGGUGAAAAUGCGUAGAGAUCUGAAGGAAUACCGGUGGCGAAGGCGGCCCCCUGGACAGAUACUGACACUCAGAUGCGAAAGCGUGGGGAGCAAACAGGAUUAGAUACCCUGGUAG